rnacentral:tRNA from 4 species
AAAUCCGUCGAUUUUUAAAAUCGUGAGGGUUCAAGUCCCUCUAUCCCCA